rnacentral:rRNA from 1 species
UGGGGAAUAUUGGACAAUGGGCGAAAGCCUGAUCCAGCCAUGCCGCGUGAGUGAUGAAGGCCUUAGGGUUGUAAAACUCUUUCGCCGGGGAAGAUAAUGACGGUACCCGGAGAAGAAGCUCCGGCUAACUUCGUGCCAGCAGCCGCGGUAAUACGAAGGGAGCUAGCGUUGUUCGGAAUUACUGGGCGUAAAGCGCACGUAGGCGGGCUAUUAAGUCAGGGGUGAAAUCCCGAGGCUCAACCUCGGAACUGCCUUUGAUACUGAUAGUCUUGAGAUCGGGAGAGGUGAGUGGAAUUCCUAGUGUAGAGGUGAAAUUCGUAGAUAUUAGGAAGAACACCAGUGGCGAAGGCGGCUCACUGGCCCGAUACUGACGCUGAGGUGCGAAAGCGUGGGGAGCAAACAGGAUUAGAUACCCAAGUAGUCCCUGAGCGGGCUGGCAAGGCGCAU